rnacentral:rRNA from 1 species
GACGGAGGGUGCGAGCGUUAUUCGGAAUCAUUGGGCGUAAAGAGCGUGUAGGCGGCCGGUUAAGUCAGGUGUGAAAGCCCGGGGCUCAACCUCGGAAGGGCACUUGAAACUAAUCGGCUUGAGUUCGGGAGAGGGUAGCGGAAUUCCUGGUGUAGAGGUGAAAUUCGUAGAUAUCAGGAGGAACACCGGUGGCGAAGGCGGCUACCUGGACCGAAACUGACGCUGAGACGCGAAAGCGUGGGGAGCAAACAGG